rnacentral:lncRNA from 12 species
CAAGAGCCAUGUCUUGGUGACUUCCGCCUGAGAGCACAUGCACAGCUUCCUGUUUUGGUCUGAUAGCUUCCCCUGGGCUUUCAUAGAUGCAAAAUUACUCACACAGAGAUGGGUUGCCCAUGCAAAAAAGGGCAUUUAUUGUUUGGAGCAAUACUGUCUAAUUGGUCCAAGCACAGAAGAAAAGAACAUUAAUGCUAUUUGCUCUGUGUUUGAUAAAACCUCUGUUUGA